rnacentral:lncRNA from 1 species
CCAGCACCAGCCUGGGUCUCGGCAGACCCCACCUCAUCCACCCCAAGUCCAGCUGUGCCUCCGGCUGCAGAUGCCUCCGACCACGACCCACCCAUGAUGGCUAACGGCCCUGAGCCUCGUGGGUGAACUGUGCGCCCCUGGUCUCUCCAGCUGAGAGACGGUCCUUUUAGCAGCUGGUUUGGGAAGGCUGGUGCCAGGCGUUACACUGAUAAAUACCUUAAAAGUCUUGUGAACUGGAUGCCAACUUUGCACUUGGUGUCUUUUUGUUUAUGUUUAAACAAGAACAUAGGCAGAGCAGACUGUAGUUAUCCAACAGAUUCAAGGGUUACCCGGAAAACAGGGGAAUCGGGGGAGGCGAGCUGAGGCUUUGGACUUUCCUUCCUGGUGACUGUUCUGGGAACCGCAGUCCAUAUGUGGAGCGUCCAUAUAGAGUCAUUUUUAAAAGUUUUAGUCUGUCUUCAUCCCCUUUUACCAGAGAAUAGGAACUUAUCUCCAAGGCUGACUGACGAUGCUUCAGUACCUCUGUUUGCCACCGCAUCCUGCUCCGCAAAAGCCCAGCUGGUUGCUCUCUGAGUCCCAAAUCCAGCAGCUAGAAGGAGCCUUGAGACAAACACUCCACACACAGGGAAGGCGAUAACAUUGUACAUUGGUUUACAUUUUUUCCCCCUGUGGAUUUUUCUAGAGGUCAUAGUGCUUCCAAAUCAUUUGAUGACAUUAUUGGGUAUCGUUUAUGUUUCCAUCAUAACACAUGCAAUAACAUCUAGGAAAUCUUUACCGUUUAAGUGUAGUCUGCUUCCCCAUGAGUCACCAUUAGAAUAGACUGGCAGCAAUGGAAUACGCAGACAAAAAACAAGCUGUUAGUUCAUAGGUUCAUCACCACCCCUUAUGCCUGCCUGUGUCUGUAUAGGUGUGUGUGUGUGAGAGAGAGUGUGUGUAAGAGGACAAAAAAAGAACAGAGUGUCUGUGCACUGUAUGCUGCUACAGUAGUAAAUAAAUCAGUAACGCAAUACUGUGGGUUCAAACUAUCUUUGCACUACUUUAUUUACAGUAGUAAAUAAAAUUAUUUUUCUACAGUUG